rnacentral:rRNA from 1 species
AUUGAACGCUAGCGGGAUGCUUUACACAUGCAAGUCGAACGGCAGCGCGGACUUCGGUCUGGCGGCGAGUGGCGAACGGGUGAGUAAUGUAUCGGAACGUGCCCAGUAGCGGGGGAUAACUACGCGAAAGCGUAGCUAAUACCGCAUACGCCCUACGGGGGAAAGCAGGGGAUCGUAAGACCUUGCACUAUUGGAGCGGCCGAUAUCGGAUUAGCUAGUUGGUGAGGUAACGGCUCACCAAGGCGACGAUCCGUAGCUGGUUUGAGAGGACGACCAGCCACACUGGGACUGAGACACGGCCCAGACUCCUACGGGAGGCAGCAGUGGGGAAUUUUGGACAAUGGGGGCAACCCUGAUCCAGCCAUCCCGCGUGUGCGAUGAAGGCCUUCGGGUUGUAAAGCACUUUUGGCAGGAAAGAAACGUCGCGGGCUAAUACCCCGUGGAACUGACGGUACCUGCAGAAUAAGCACCGGCUAUCUACGUG